ensembl:lncRNA
CCUUAGUAGAAAACCUUCUGCAUCUCUUCUAAGAAAGAAAUUGCUUUUCCCAGACACUCCAACCUUGAGAGCUGCAGAGACCUUAACCAUGAAGGCCACUUUGCUCCUUGGUGCCAUUCUCUUGAUGAGCCUGGUUAUGGCUGAUGAACAAGAUAAAUCUUCACCUGAAGGUAAAGAUAAAGCUACACCUCAAAAUGAAACAGUUGUCUGGGACUCCACUGGAAAAAUGGUGUCUGGGAGCCCAGUUUUCAUUUUGCUGCCACUGAUGUGGAUGAUGGUCCAUCUUCUUCACAUGUAAUGAGCUUCACUUUUCAUGAGAACAUGAAGGCUCAUCAAUCCUACCCAAGUUUAAGAAACGGAGCUCUUUUCCAUUGCUAAUUGCUUAAUAAUCCAGCCAGCCGGCAUCCUGCUCUUGCUGCAAUUACUCCAACAUGUUGGACUAUCCAUGAUUUCAUUGCAUCGGCCAGCUAAACGAGGAAGUGAAAAGAAAGCCAGGAAAAUGUCUGAUGUCAAUACUCAAGUACAUGCAUUUGUUUGUAACGUUACAUAUGACUGUCAUUGUUCAGAGGAAAUCUGAGUAAGAGGAGUUAUAAAAUAUCUCAGAUGCAUCUUCUGUGCCUGAGAGAUAUAAUCCAGAUCAUACUUUCCUACAAAAGGCACAAGAUCCUUCUGCAGAGGAAUAGACAUAAGCCACACAUGCCUGUCAUCCAUUAUGGUGUCCAUCCUACUGAUGCUCUUUUAUAUUUGGCCUCCCAAGUGACUAUAAUGUCACCUCUGGAGAAACGGUUAUAUCUUUUUCCAUGAAUCCACCUUGUGAGAAUCCUUCUCUUGUCUCAAAGAAAGAAGUAAUUCCUCCAUCCAGGAGGCUUCAUCUUGAGCUCCAGCUUUUCAAGACAAGAAUACCAGUAAAGCAAGAUCUAGUGUGGUGGUUCCACCAGAUUAUCCUUCUUUAACAGGACAGGAGAGGACAAUUGUUCAUCGGACUUGAAGUAACCAAACAUACGGAAUGUCUUUGAUUGUAACUGCACCUACGUUUAUGUGAAAUGUAAUCAGAGGUUUUGCAUUCGGCCAUUUACAGAAAACAGCUCAAAGUGAAAAUAAUAACACAAGAUACAAGUUUGUUUUAUAAAUAGGUUGCUGUUACCAUCUGUAAUAUAUAUAUGCAGGUUGAUUUAAAUAAAAGCUUUUUGGCUAGCUGGCA